ACUCAAUCUUAGGAUAUACAACAGGAUACAGCUACAGAUAAGAGCUCUUGGUUUAUUCCGGUGUUUCAAUAGCUACAGAUGCUGUUGCAAAAUGAGGCAAGAGUGAGUUCUGCCAAGAGCAAUGUCCAUCAUGCAAAAUGCCUACUACCUAGGAGCUUUCAGAAGAAGUAAGACAAAGGCUGAACAUAGAAGUUUGUGUUUCUUUCCUUCAACUGACCCCAUGACAGGAAGCAGAUAAUCUAGGAAGUGUCAUCACUCCAGGCCACGGUGGCAUUCGUGAAUGGGAAACAAUGUUUGGAAAGUGUGCCGUUUUGACAUCAGUGUGGCUCUGGCAACGUUGGAUGGAUGAGAUGAGUAGGAAUCAGUGUGAAGUCCGCAUUACAACAUGCUUGGAUUCAGUUAUGCCAAUGGUAAUGGAAAGAAAGAGGAAAGAUUUCAGAGAAGUAUGCAAAGAAAAA